GAUGAACGCUGGCGGCGUGCCUAACACAUGCAAGUCGAGCGAGAAACCAUCGAUUGAAACUUCGGUAGAUAUUGAAGGCGGAAAGCGGCGGGACGGGUGAGUAACGCGUAGGCAACCUGCCCUUUGCAGAGGGAUAGCAACGGGAAACUGUUAUUAAAACCUCAUAAUACCGUAAUGUCAAAUGAUGAAACGGUCAAAGAUUUAUCGGCAAAGGAUGGGCCUGCGUCUGAUUAGUUAGUUGGUAGGGUAACGGCCUACCAAGGCAGCGAUCAGUAGCCGACCUGAGAGGGUGAUCGGCCACAUUGGAACUGAGACACGGUCCAAACUCCUACGGGAGGCAGCAGUGGGGAAUAUUGCACAAUAGGCGAAAGGACCUGAUGCAGCAAACGCCGCCGUGGAGGAG
rnacentral:rRNA from 1 species